CAGUCGGCGUCACCUGACUCCCGAGACCCUGUUUUUGGAGUGGGAAGUGAGGUGUGAGAGUCGGUCGCUUUCUGAUGAAUUCAUUGGCUGUGGAAUUGGAACCUGGGAAUAAUCUAUCCCCUAGAGGCAGGUUUUUACACCCUAAGCCUUCAUCUAGAGAGGACGGAUUUAUUUGCUACGCGUGCACAUUCUGAAAACAGGAGAUCGAAUUAGUUCUCUAUAAUGGGAAGAACCUACAUUGUCGAAGAGACUGUCGGCCAGUAUCUUUCAAACAUCAAUCUCCAAGGAAAGGCAUUUGUCUCUGGCCUUUUAAUAGGACAGUGUUCUUCACAAAAGGAUUAUGUGAUUCUUGCCACUAGAACACCACCCAAAGUGGAAGAAAAUGAGAACCUCAAACAUUCCAAAGCUAAGUUGGAUGAUUUGGAUGAAGAAUGGACCACAGAACAUGCCAACCAGGUAUCCCGAAUGCUACCAGGGGGACUUUUGGUUCUUGGAGUAUUUAUUGUUACUACUCUAGAACUAGCAAAUGAUUUUCAAAAUGCCCUGCGCAGACUAAUAUUUGCUGUGGAAAAGUCUCUGAGUAGAAGGAGACUGUGGAAUUUCACAGAGGAAGAGGUUUCAGAACGAGUGACACUUCACAUUUGCUCUUCUACAAAAAAGAUAUUUUGUCGAACUUAUGAUGUCCAUGAUCCAAAGAGUUCAGCAAGACCAGCAGAUUGGAAGUAUCAAAAUGGAUUGUCAACUUCGUGGCUUUCUUUAGAGUGUACAAUUCACAUUAAUAUUCACAUCCCACUUUCUACUACUUCUGUCAGCUAUACUUUGGAGAAAAAUACAAAGAAAGGACUUACACGCUGGGCCAAGCAAAUAGAAAACAGUGUUUAUUUGAUUAAUGGACAAGUUAAAGAAGAAGAUUGUGACCUAUUACAAGGACAGAAAAAAUCUUCUAGAGGAAAUACUCAAACUACUGGUCAUUGUUUUGAUGUCAGAGUGUUAAAGUUGCUCCUGAAUUCAGACCACAGAUCCACAGCCAUAGUCCAGAUAUGCAGUGGUUUUGUGAACCUUAAGGGAGCUGUGAAAUGCAGAGCUUAUAUUCACAGCAAUAAGCCCAAGGUUAAAGAUGCUGUGCAGGCAAUGAAGAGGGAUAUAUUAAACACAGUUGCUGAUCGUUGUGAAAUACUAUUUGAGGAUCUGCUUUUGAAUGAAAUUCCAGAAAAAAAAGUUAUGAAAAAAGAGUUCCACAUCCUCCCUCAUCGAGUUUUCGUCCCCAUUCCUGGAUCCACUGUAAUGUUAUCUGAUUAUAAAUUUGGUGAUGAGUCAACUGAAGAAAUCAGAGAGCAUUUUAUAGAGAUGUUAGAUCAUACGAUUCAAAUAGAAGACUUGGAAAUUGCAGAGGAAAUAAAUGCAGCUUAUAUGAGCUCCUCUGUGAAUAGUCAAGCUUCAUUGGACAACACAGAUGAUGAACAACCAGAGCAAUCAAUUAAAACCACAAUAGCGUUGAAGAUUCAGCAAAACAUAGGUAUGAUUGCAGCAUUUGCAGUUACAGUCCUUGCUGCGGCUAUCUCCUUCCACUACUUCAGUGAUUAGGGUGAGGCACAAAGACCUUCCUGAUUAUCCAGAGAAUACUGAUAAAAAUAUAAACAAUCCAUUUGUAUUUAAGAUAGAAGCCACCAAAUCUGCUGCCUAAUACCAAUUAGGUAUGUGUUCUGACUAAAAGGAAAUCACCAGCUACCUUGGUUAGCCUGUUUAUAUUAUAGGUGACCCAGGUUUCCAAAAAUAAAGGUGUGCAUCUGGAGGGAAACAGCAUGUAACAAAUCAUUAUUAUCUAUUUCUAAAAGGCUCAAAAUGAUGGGAUAUUAUUUAUCACAUAUAUUAGUCCUACUAGUCUGGAUCACACAUUAAUCAGGACAUUAAAUUCUGAACAGUCAAGUGUUGACUCAAUAUCUUAAAAAUAAAGGAUUAGGAGAAAUUUGUACCAAGUGGGACAACCUUGUGGUUAGUUCAUCUUCUUGAACUUUUCUAAUAUGCACUCAUUUCCAAUAAACUGUAUGCUAUUGUUCUAAUCAAGGAGUAGGAAACCUUUCUUGAGAGGUUUGAGUCAUUGAAGAAUGACAUAAAUUAUGUGCUUUCUCAGGUUCUAAGUAUAUCAUAAUAGUUUUAAUAUAUUUAAUAUAUAAAAUAAGACUUUCUCUUUCAGCAGUAUGUUAGACUAGAAAUUGAAAGCAACUAGAACCUGAAUAAAAUCUACUUUAAAUAGGCUCAAAGGAAGUAUGAGAAAUCUUCAAGACCCACCCAUCUAUCUUUCCUCCUCCACAAAAAUGAAUAUGUUUUAUGUUAGCAAUCAUGAAUACUAUAUUAAGUAUAGAAAAGGACUAUUGUUGCCAGUAUGGCAAAUACCAAUAGCAACAUGCCAAAUGCAGUUUGCCUCAAAUCAGAAACAAGGAAAGACCCGAAACUGAGAUGCUGUUCUAGAAAGGACAGUUUAAAAAGGUUAAAUGGCCCUCAGUUUGUAGUACUCUAGCUCCUGGCAGAAGCAAGGGCAAACAUUCCUACUUUAGGUCUACGAUUCAGAUAGAUUAUGGUCAAGUAGUAGUAUUUUCACAAUCACCAGGCAUAAGUUGAAACUAGUGAGCAUGAGAAAGAACCUAUAGAAAAAAUAAACAUCGAAUUCAUUUCCCCAAAUCUCAUUACCAACAUAAGAAAUGAAGGAUGGAACCACAGGCAGAUCUGAAAAAGAGACAACUUAGAACUGAGAUGUACAUUUAUUGAAAUAUGAAAAAAAACUUUCAGACAUUGAAUAUUAGAAUCAGGCGAAGAGACAAGUGAGCUGGCAGCUACAUUUAAGUCAUGACCCACUGAGCAGGCAAGAAACAAGGAGUUAAAAAUUAUUAGAAUUUAUUUGUUAAUAAAAACAAAUACAAAGAUCAGGAGGAGAAAAUGGAGAGAGGCAAUAUUUGAAGAGAUAACAGAACUUUCUACAUUUAUUGGAAACACGUGAAUUCAUAAUUUCAGGAAGCACAACAUAUCUCCCAAACUGACCCAAGAGAGGGAAAAAAAUCAUCAUUAUAAAGGCAAGACAGAUGCUUAGCAGACUUCCCAACUGCAACCAUACCGAAAGAUGAUAGAAUAAUAUAGAACAAUAUCUUCAGAAUUUUGAGAAAGAAAAAUCGAUUGUCAGAAUCUACACCAAACAAAACUGAAAUAAAUACACGUUCCGAUGAAAAAUGAAUUUUACGUCAGCCAACCUUCAUUAAGGAAACUGCAAAAGGAUGAUCUUCAAGAAGGAAAAUGAUUCCCAAAGGAUGAUCUGAAACCGAAGACGUAAUGAACAAAUAAAGUAAUAAAUAAUUGCAAAUUUAAAAUGUUGUUUGCAUAAAACAAUCAUGAUCAAGAAAUGUUUUUAAGGAAUUGUAACCAAAUGUAAAAUUAAAUAAACUUCUUAUACAACAUUAAUAAUGUGGAAUUGUAAAAUAAGGUUCUAACUAAAAAACCAGAUAGUAGCUUAUAAGGUGGGAAAUGGUUGAUUAAAGUGUUCUGUGGCAUUUUUAUUCAGAAAACUGGUUAAGAUACUGUUUAACUUUAAAAUUAAUUGUGUUAAAUAUCUAUAGUCAUAUUUCAAGGGUAACUGCUAAAUUAAUAGGGGAUUAAUCAUUCCAAAGCAAAAGAAGUUUAAAAUAUAGACUAGGAAGGCAAUAAUUCAAUAUAAAUAAAGAAAUUUGGGAGGUGGGGCAAGGUUAGAAAGUAAGAUGAUAGUACCAAGUACAAUGAUAAUUAAAUGUGAGUAGAUUGAAUUACCCAAUUAAAUGACAAAUUGAUCAGGUUUUUUUUUUUAAAUCCUAACUAUAGGGCUUGGCGCCCGUAGCACAGUGGUUAUGGUGUCAGCCACACACACUGAGGGUUUGAACCCGGCCCGAGCCAGCUAAAAACAACGACAACUGCAACAAAAAAUAGCCGGGCGUUGUGGUGGGCGCCUGUGGUCCCAGCUGCUUGGGAGGCUGAGACAAGAGAAUCGCCUAAGCCCAACAGUUUGAGGUUGCUGUGAGCUGUGAUGCCACGGCACUGUACCGAGGGCGACAGCUUGAGACUAUGUCUCCAAAAAAAAAAAUCCUAAUUAUAGCUGUUUAAAAGAAAAACAUCUAAAACAUAAGACAUCAGGAGAUUGAAAGUAAAAAAGUUAAACAAUGCAUUAGCUAAAUACCAAAAAAAAACUUGUUUAGCUUUAGUGAUAUUAAUCAAAAUUAGACUUUAUGAUAUUUUGAAGAUGGAGAAAGCCAUUAAAAAUAGUAACAGGGUCAAUUUACUAGGAAUAUAUAAUAAUUUUAAAUUUUUAUAUAUCUUAUGAAAUGGCUUCAAAAUGUACAAACUGUGUGGAUCUGAAGCCACAAAUUGAACAAUUGUGGAAAAUUUCAACAGUUCUCACUUAAUUGAUACAGGCAGGCCCCAAGUUACAAACAUCUGACUGAUGUCUGACUCACACUUAUGGAGGCUAUUACAGAUGAUAGACAAAUGUACCUGUUCCACCUAGAAAUUCAACAUAGGAACAAACUUACAGAACCUCCCUCAUCCAUAACCCAGGGGCUGCCUGUAAAUCAAGCAAAGAAUGAGUGAAGACAUUUAAAUAAUGCAAUAACAAUGUGAUUUAAUGGACAUAUUUAGAAAAAUAUAUUUAACAACUGUUUUUCUUAAGUAUUAUAUAUUAGCAAAAAUUGAACAUGUGCUAGAGUAAAUCACAAUAAAUUUCAAAUAAUUGGCUUUAAAUAGAUAACCAGAAACAAGUAUAGGUAAAUAAUAAAGGUUAAAUUUUUUAAAAAUACAAUUACAAAUUUAAAAAAUGUUUUAAAAUGAAACAAGGAAACAAAUCCUUAUUAAUAGAGCCUAAUUAUAAGUAAGGCAUUUUUAAAAAUUGGGUGAUGCAGUGGAAACAGCACUUUGAAGGUAAAUGACUUUAAAUGCUUGAAUAAGGAAAAAAAAUUAAAUAUGUUAAAUUUUAAGUUAAAAUAACAGAAUAUGGAAGACCUAAUUUAACUUUUUUUAAGUUAAAAAAACAGAAUGUGGAAGCAAUGAAGUACAGGCAAGGGAGUCACAACAAACUCUUAAGAAUAGACGAUGAAGGAAUAAUUUCCAGCUUAUUGCAUGGGGUUGGUGUAACUUGAUACUAAAGUCAGACACAUUCAGUAAGAGAAGAAAACUUAUUAACAAACAUAAAUGUCAAAAGCACCGUUAAUAAACUGAAUUUAACAUGUGAAAAGGCAGUGCAUCAUGACUAAAUUGUGUACAUUAAAAGUCAGAAGCACAACAGGGAUGCUUCUACUGUUCUGUAGAAAAAUGAGCAAAAAGACAGAAACUAGGUAUUUUAAAAGGGUAUGACUAGACACAUGAAAAAUAUGUUUAACCUCAUAAGUGAUUGAGAACAUAAUGAAUAGCAUUUUACACAAGAUUGAAAACUUAAGAAAUAAGAUAGAACCGAUGAAGACGGUGUGCACUGAGAAGACACCUUGUAACACUGCAGGUAGGAUUUCUAGCUGAUACUCUCUUCAGAAAGGAAUUUGGCACUGCCUCACAGAGUUAUAUAUUCACAUACCCUAACCAUUUUACAUCUGCAUAUAUACCUUAGAGAAAUUCUUGUGCACAUACACCUCCAGAGUACGCAUGUAAUAAUGCUCAUGGCAGCCCUGUUUGCAACCAAUUAAUUUUCCAUUGACAUAAUAAAAUACAAAGGUCUGACAAUGAAGUUUGCAAAUGCAUGAUAGAAAAAGUACACAGCUGAAUAUCACUAUGGUUACUUCAAAGUGCUUUUCAAAGCAGUUUGGAACUCUAUUUUUUUUUUUUUUUUCUGGAAUGACCGACCAUCAGAGCUGUCCUUGUACGGCACACAAAAACGUGCAACAUUAAUAAUGAAUGCCACUUAGCAAGAUAUCACCACAUGUCGACAAACACAGAGGCGAGACACUGACAUGCCGAAGUUAUGAAAUCUUAGGAAGUUGUAUAGUGCUGCCAACGUAAGACCACAGUAGUGAGUUCGUGAACUUAAUUAUCAGAUCUUGUACUGUGACAGCUCUGAUGGUCAUUCCAGAAAAGGAGUUCCAAAAUUACCUUGAAGGGUGAACUAGGUGCUGAUAUCAGUGCAUAGCAUCCCAAGGGGCAUAGUACAAAGGUGACUGUAGUGAUAAUGUUCAACACUGAGGUACAUAGCUCCUUUUCUAGGAGGAGUUCAUAAACUUAAUUAUCAGGCCUCGUAUAAAUUGUAGGUUUUGUAAAUUUUAUUUAGUAAGGAGAACAACCACAACAACCUAGAGGAAUCUUAGAAAUAUAACAAAGUCUCAGAAGUGUACAUACAGUGUGAUGACAGCUUUUAUAAAGUAGAAAACAAAUCUAAAUUGUAUUAUGUAGGAAUACAUAAAUGUGAUAAAACUUUACAAGUAGUGAUGAAUGAUUCAGCAUAGUGUUUUAUUAUCUCAGUGGGAAUGA